rnacentral:rRNA from 1 species
AGAGUUUGAUCCUGGCUCAGGAUGAACGCUAGCGGCAGACUUAACACAUGCAAGUCGAGGGGCAGCGGGUGUAGCAAUACAUGCCGGCGACCGGCGCAAGGGUGCGUAACGCGUGAGCAAUCUGCCCGUAUCAGGGGGAUAAGCGAUGGAAACGUCGUCUAAUACCGCAUAACACCAAUGAUGGCAUCAUCGAUGGUUGAAAGCUUCGGUGGAUACGGAUGAGCUCGCGAGACAUUAGUUAGUUGGCGGGGUAACGGCCCACCAAGACCGCGAUGUCUAGGGGAACUGAGAGGUUGGUCCCCCACACUGGAACUGAGACACGGUCCAGACUCCUACGGGAGGCAGCAGUGAGGAAUAUUGGACAAUGGCCGGAAGGCUGAUCCAGCCAUGCCGCGUGAAGGAAUAAGGUCCUAUGGAUUGUAAACUUCUUUUGUACGAGAGCAAUAAGUGUCACGAGUGACACGAUGAGAGUAUCGUACGAAUAAGCAUCGGCUAACUCCGUGCCAGCAGCCGCGGUAAUACGGAGGAUGCGAGCGUUAUCCGGAUUUAUUGGGUUUAAAGGGUGCGUAGGCGGGAUUUUAAGUCAGCGGUGAAACGCAAGGGCUCAACCCUUGACCUGCCGUUGAAACUGGAGUUCUUGAAUGCGGAUGCUGUGGGAGGAAUGUGUGGUGUAGCGGUGAAAUGCAUAGAUAUCACACAGAACACCGAUUGCGAAGGCAUCUCACAAAUCCGUGAUUGACGCUGAGGCACGAAAGUGUGGGGAUCAAACAGGAUUAGAUACCCUGGUAGUCCACACUGUAAACGAUGAUAACUCGCU